rnacentral:sRNA from 1 species
GCUGGAUAAGCAAUAGCGACUGGAUAUGGAGGGAAUCAGGUCACUUUAUGAUUAAAACUACAUGUAAUUAUCUUACCGGAAUAAUUAUCAAAAGAGGUAGCCGAGUAGUCUCCCCUAAAUUCUUGGGCUUGCAAGCGGUAUGCCAGAGCCGUCUUGCCCGACUUGGUGUCUCCAACGAUGCAGCAUUUUAGACUGGAGGAUUCGAGGGCCUGGUACUUGGCGGACGAGCCCCGAGCGUUCAUGAUAAUCUCCACGCCCUUCACAUCAUCGGGACAAUCUCAAUGUGCAUGUGUCCAUGUCAAGGUACAAUUUUUUGUUUCAAUUCAGAAGGGCAAGUUUACGAUCAGGAAGUGAGGAGAUCCCUAUAUCCUGUUGUGUGUAAUGUGAGCGCACUUAUAACCAGGAAAAUAGAUACAUUAUAUCUAUACAGCGUAUACAUUGGAGAGGUCACCCAAAGAUUGCGUCAAAAUAUUAGUUUAUGAAUGAAUGUCUGAUGCUGAGGACCUAGAAACAAUGAGCAAUUUGUAAUAAGGACAACCUCCGUAAACAGGGAUGCAUCAGUUCGUGUUCACAUGUGCAGAAAUAAGUUCAAAUCUCACAUACUAUCACAUGUUCAAUGAGCAUUCUCGUUGCUGAGUGAAUGCAUAUCAUAUUAUUAUACACUCUUUGAUUUUAUUCAAAGACAAAACGAUCGUGUGGUUGACAGCGAAUGUUUUCCGUUGUCUAAUAUAUAUACAUGUAAUAACCAAACUUAUGCUUUGUG